rnacentral:rRNA from 1 species
CCCGCUGAACUUAAGCAUAUCAAUAAGCGGAGGAAAAGAAACCAACAGGGAUUGCCCUAGUAACGGCGAGUGAAGCGGCAACAGCUCAAAUUUGAAAUCUGGCCCUCGGGUCCGAGUUGUAAUUUGUAGAGGAUGCUUUUGGCGCGGUGCCUUCCGAGUUCCCUGGAACGGGACGCCUUAGAGGGUGAGAGCCCCGUACGGUUGGACACCAAGCCUCUGUAAAGCUCCUUCGACGAGUCGAGUAGUUUGGGAAUGCAGCUCAAAAUGGGUGGUAAAUUCCAUCUAAAGCUAAAUAUUGGCGAGAGACCGAUAGCGAACAAGUACCGUGAGGGAAAGAUGAAAAGCACUUUGGAAAGAGAGUUAAACAGUACGUGAAAUUGUUGAAAGGGAAACGUUUGAAGUCAGUCGCGUCGGCCGAGACUCAACCUUGCUUCUGCUCGGUGCACUUCUCGGUUGACGGGUCAGCAUCAAUUUUGACCGCCGGAUAAAGGUCGGGGGAAUGUGGCAUCCUUCGGGAUGUGUUAUAGACCUCGAUUCGGAUACGGCGAUUGGGAUUGAGGAACUCGGCGCUCUGCGUCCAGGAUGCUGGCAUAAUGGCUUUAAGCGACCCGUCUUGAAACACGG